rnacentral:rRNA from 1 species
UACGUAGGGGGGCAAGCGUUGUCCGGAUUUAUUGGGCGUAAAGAGCGUGUAGGCGGCCAGGUAGGUCCGUUGUGAAAACUCGAGGCUCAACCUCGAGCUGUCGAUGGAAACCAUCUGGCUAGAGUCCGGAAGAGGAGAAUGGAAUUCCUGGUGUAGCGGUGAAAUGCGCAGAUAUCAGGAGGAACACCGGUGGCGAAGGCGGGUCUCUGGGCCGAUACUGACGCUGAGGAGCGAAGCCAGGGGAGCAAACGGG